rnacentral:piRNA from 1 species
GCCUGUUCCAGAAGCUGUCAGGUUCUCUG